rnacentral:lncRNA from 1 species
GGCUUACGAGUGGGGAUCUCCACCAUUUACAAGUAUUCAAACAGGAGGGGGUGGUGAUGACCCCCAGGGACUUUACCUACAUUUCAUUUGAUUUGUUUAUUGUCCCAUACAAGAAUAUAUAUGGUUUAGGGGUGGGGAUGUUGACCGUUUACAAGUUUUCAAACAAGAAGGGGUGGGGAUGUUGACCGUUUACAAGUUUUCAAACAAGAAGGGGUGGGGUCACCCCCUCGGGACUUCCCUUUUAUAUCAUUUCAUUUGUUUUAUUGUCCCCUACAAGAAUAAAUAUGGUUUAGGGGUGGGGAUCUGGACCGUUUACAAGAUAAUAGCACAUUCUCAAAUUGAACGGGGUGGGGGUGACCCCAAGGAACUUCCAUUUAAUUUCAUUUGAUUAGUUUUAUUGUCCCAUACAAGAAUAUAUAUGGUUAAGGGGUGGGGAUGUUGACCGUUUACAAGUUUUCAAACAAGAGGGAGUGGGGUGACCCCCUAGGGACUUCCCUUUUAUUUCAUUUCAUUUAUUUUAUUGUCCCCUACAAGAAUAUAUAUGGUUUAGGGGUGGGGAUCUGGACCGUUUACAAGAUAAUAGCACAUUUUCAAAUUGAAUGGGGUGGGGAGGACCCCCGGGGACUUCCCUUUAAUUUCAUUUGAUUUGUUUUAUCGUCCCAUUCAAGAAUAUAUGAGGUUUAGGGAUGGCUCACCUAGACAUAUUAGUCUAACAUUCUAUGAAACCCUAAGUUAAUCUGACCAGGGGUUUUGGAGAAACGCUGCGGACAAG